GGUUAUAAAGUUCAGUCUUUUGUACUGUUAAAAACUGAGGAUGUUGACUGAAUAACUAGAAAAUGACACUUGGUGUGCCACAUUUACCUCCUGCUGAUGUAGAAGGACCAGUUUUUAAUAGUAGAACUCGAUGAAAUUUUUCACA
rfam:Gossypium raimondii Chr09_contig_1747, whole genome shotgun sequence.